rnacentral:rRNA from 1 species
UCGAACGAUGAUCUCCAGCUUGCUGGGGGGAUUAGUGGCGAACGGGUGAGUAACACGUGAGUAACCUGCCCUUAACUCUGGGAUAAGCCUGGGAAACUGGGUCUAAUACCGGAUAUGACUCCUCAUCGCAUGGUGGGGGGUGGAAAGCUUUUUGUGGUUUUGGAUGGACUCGCGGCCUAUCAGCUUGUUGGUGAGGUAAUGGCUCACCAAGGCGACGACGGGUAGCCGGCCUGAGAGGGUGACCGGCCACACUGGGACUGAGACACGGCCCAGACUCCUACGGGAGGCAGCAGUGGGGAAUAUUGCACAAUGGGCGCAAGCCUGAUGCAGCGACGCCGCGUGAGGGAUGACGGCCUUCGGGUUGUAAACCUCUUUCAGUAGGGAAGAAGCGAAAGUGACGGUACCUGCAGAAGAAGCGCCGGCUAACUACGUGCCAGCAGCCGCGGUAAUACGUAGGGCGCAAGCGUUAUCCGGAAUUAUUGGGCGUAAAGAGCUCGUAGGCGGUUUGUCGCGUCUGCCGUGAAAGUCCGGGGCUCAACUCCGGAUCUGCGGUGGGUACGGGCAGACUAGAGUGAUGUAGGGGAGACUGGAAUUCCUGGUGUAGCGGUGAAAUGCGCAGAUAUCAGGAGGAACACCGAUGGCGAAGGCAGGUCUCUGGGCAUUAACUGACGCUGAGGACCGAGACAUGGG